rnacentral:tRNA from 1 species
GCGCCCGUAGCUCAGUUUGGAUAGAGCGCCGGACUUCGAAUCCGUAGGUCGCAGGUUCGAGUCCUGCCGGGCGCG